CAGGCAAAAAUCCUUCUGUUUUUAUAAUGCUCCAAGCACGUUAUACAUGUCAAUGUUAGUGCCGUGUGCCCUACAUAAAUAAAAACAACUUACCAAUGCUCAGCGGGGUGUUACACAUCUUACAGCUAACCUCCGUAUGCGCUGUCUGGGUAUCAGUGAGUAAGCUGCUAAUUAGGGUUAGCCAGGAGUGCAGAACGGGGCCGAUUGCAGGGCAGGCACCGACCCAGCACGUGGCUGCACACUGCAAGUUGAACAGUACCCGAGCUCAAGGCUGGCUUUUAUUUUCUGCAUUGUUUCCCUCUGCAUAAACAUCAGGAACAUGCUUAGACAGUAGAAUUGAGCCCGGAUGUCUGGAGGGCAUCUGGAGGUGUUCAGGUGUGUGAUUGCUUCCUGUCUGCCCACCGCAGCGCUCUCCUGUCUGCAGUACAAACACAGCGCUGCUGGAGGUGUGGGUGCUGCGGGGCUGGGCAGGAACUUGGGUAGCAGUGAGAGGCUGCAGUGUGCAGUGUUUGGGGAGGGGGAGUUCUGAAGGAUUUUUGAUGGGUAGCUUACGUGUCUGUUAGGUGAGAGCACAGCGGUGGCAGUAGAAAAUAAGGAGCGUGGAGGCAGUGUCAGUGUGAGAUUUCAGCAACAAAUAUGUGGGUUCUUUUAGGUAGACUGACUUAAAACGGUUUUUACUGCAUCGCAUUCAGUACAGAUCACACGAGUGAGCGGUCCUUGGGCUGCCCUUACCCACCUGGAGAAACAGCUGCCCCAGGAAGGGGCUCUGUGCCUACCCUGGCAGCAGUCUCCCCCUCAUUUCCCUAGAUAAAUGUGAGUGUUCUGUGCAGACUCCAGCAGGAUGCUGUCCCACGUGUGAGGCCAGCUUUGGCGGGUUGUAACCCUGUGAGUCUUGCUUGUUAUUUAAGGGUGUGGGGGCUGCUGGCUCUUGGGCAGUGAGUUUGUGUUUGUGUGCAUUGGGAUGGGGGCUGAGAUGUUCCCUGUCACACCAUCAGAACCAGAGCUCUGGUGGCUGAGGGAAAAGCAAUGAAAUCCCAUUCUAGGAUUUCAGAGAGAAGGUCCAAGGGUGCAUAGGUGGCCAAAGCGUUUGGAGAGACACACAUGGGCACGUGUGUGCUUAACAAGAUUUAGUACCAAAAAAAAAGAAAAGAGGUAUUUUUGCUUUGAAAAUCCCCCUGAGGGCCCCGAUGUCUUCAUGGGGAGCUGUUUGCCCUUGGGCACAAGCCCCUCUGACACCUGGUGGGACAGCAAAAGGUAACGGAGAAGGCUUGAAAUUAAAUAAUGCCUGUGGACUUCUUAAGCAUUGCGUUGAGCUGAACAGAGCACUGUGGCUGUCCCCUGAGGAGCGCUGGGACAGCUGUAAGGGCAGCUUCUGUACAGCCUGCUCCCAUAACAUCUAAUUGCUUUCAUAUCUAUCAAACACUAAAAGCCUUUCUUCGGAGUUGUGCGUUUGUUUUUAAAUCAAAUAGAUUUAUUCUUGAUGUCUCGGGCACAUUAUUGCAGUAACCUCAUCCUUGGACCAAAACUUUGGCAGAACACACAUAUCUGUAAUGAGGACUUUGUGUUCUGUGGAGGCUUUAUUACAAAAGAGGAUGAACAAGUAUAUUAGAAAGAAAGGGGAGAAACAGGGAAGACUACUUUUUUUGGCAAAGCUUUGUGCUACAGCUCUCGUUUCUCUGGUUGCAGCUGCCUUCAGGCGCACAUCUCAGUCCCUUGUUAUGUUGUGCUCAACUGUUGAUGCUUCCCAGAUUUGCUCUUUGGUGAAACAGGCACGUGUGCAGGUUCCCCAUAAAAAUGGCCGGUUUGGGUUUUACCAGGAACUCUGGCACUUCUCCAUUAUAAGAAGGGAUUACAUUUUUAGGGAGAAUUAACAAGGCAGGAGUAGUGAAGCACUUGAAAUGUCCAGUUUAAUUCUCUCUCUUCCUGCAAGCAAGCUCACACGAGCAGGUUUUUCAGAAGUCCUGAAAUGAAAGCUUCCUGGAAGAAAUACAUAUCCCUGUGGGACCACACAGCUCUCAGUCCUGCCUCCGUGUGAAGAUGAUGUUCCUGGGUGUCAAGCCACGGCCCUGCUCUGGUGGCAUGUGAGGUGUGAGCCUCCAACUGCCUCUGGCUGUACUGCAGCAAUCCACAGAAUGACUGGAAGCACAGCACAUGAGCUUUCUGGCUUUAUUUCUUGCAAGUACUGCUGGGCCUGUCCCCUUCCAUGCCCGUCUGCUUCGCUGAUGAAAGCUGCCCUGGAGCCUGCAGGUUGCACAUAGGUUGUGUGCACAACGUGGACGUUAUUUAAAGAAAUGCCAACAGGAGGAGACAGCUUGGGAAAUGGGAGCAUACAUCUCACCGGUCUGAAGAGAGCUCAUAGCAGCUCAGGAUCUUUCUGAUUUUUAUGGUCGCUGCCUGUCCUGCCGGUCCGCCUUGGUGAAGAAACAGACUUGGGGUGGAGCAGGGAUGCAGCUGGGGUGCAAGGCAAGGGCUGUGCUGUGGCCGAGUGUCUUCGUUCAAGACCCUCUCCACCAAUAAGGCCAUCCCUUUGGUUCUAAUGAAAUCCUGGGACCCACCACUGAGCCCCUUGGUUUUGAAAGCCAAAGCCUAACCCUGUGGUACCUGAACUGUUGGCAUAAACUCAGCUCAGAAGGCAAUAUGAACCAUUUGUCAAUGAAAGCAGCAGCACGCAUUUAGCCCUGCAGGCUUUCAAGUAUUACCCAAUAAAACAAGCUUCUCCAUCCUUUCUGAAACCCCCACAUCGUGUUUCUGGCCUGCCUGUGGUUGUUCCACGGCUCUGUGAGGCUUUGUGCCUCUGAAAAGCCCCUCCUUGUGACAACCUGAGGUUUUCUUGGCUUGAAAUGCUGAUCUGGGCCAAACUCCAAGCGUCUGCUUUUUUAGAUUAACAUAGUUUAAAUUAAGAGAAAUUAACGAUGAAGAUGUAUCAUCAGCCUUUAGCUCUGUGUAUUGUUGGUUCGUGCUUUUGUCAUUACAUCGGUUCUCAAGAAGUAAAAAUUUCUGUUAAUAAUUUAA
ensembl:lncRNA